AUUGAACGCUGGCGGCAGGCCUAACACAUGCAAGUCGAGCGGAUGAAGGGAGCUUGCUCCUGGAUUCAGCGGCGGACGGGUGAGUAAUGCCUAGGAAUCUGCCUGGUAGUGGGGGAUAACGUCCGGAAACGGGCGCUAAUACCGCAUACGUCCUGAGGGAGAAAGAGGGGGAUCUUCGGACCUCACGCUAUCAGAUGAGCCUAGGUCGGAUUAGCUAGUUGGUGGGGUAAAGGCUUACCAAGGCGACGAUCCGUAACCGGCCUGAGAGGGUGAUCAGCCACACUGGAACUGAGACACGGUCCAGACUCCUACGGGAGGCAGCAGUAGGGAAUUUUCCGCAAAGGGCGAAAGCCUGACGGAGCAACGCCGCGUGAGUGAAGAAGGUCUUCGGAUUGUAAAACUCUUUUAUUAGGGAAGAAAAAAUGUGUAAGUAACUAUUCACGUUUUGACGGUACCUAAUCAGAAAGCCACGGCUAACUUCGUG
rnacentral:rRNA from 1 species